AGCACAGAGAGCUUGCUCUUGGGUGACGAGUGGCGGACGGGUGAGUAAUGUCUGGGAAACUGCCCGAUGGAGGGGGAUAACUACUGGAAACGGUAGCUAAUACCGCAUAACGUCGCAAGACCAAAGUGGGGGACCUUCGGGCCUCACACCAUCGGAUGUGCCCAGAUGGGAUUAGCUAGUAGGUGGGGUAAUGGCUCACCUAGGCGACGAUCCCUAGCUGGUCUGAGAGGAUGACCAGCCACACUGGAACUGAGACACGGUCCAGACUCCUACGGGAGGCAGCAGUGGGGAAUAUUGCACAAUGGGCGCAAGCCUGAUGCAGCCAUGCCGCGUGUAUGAAGAAGGCCUUCGGGUUGUAAAGUACUUUCAGCGAGGAGGAAGGCAUUAAGGUUAAUAACCUUAGUGAUUGACGUUACUCGCAGAAGAAGCACCGGCUAACUCCGUGCCAGCAGCCGCGGUAAUACGGAGGGUGCAAGCGUUAAUCGGAAUUACUGGGCGUAAAGCGCACGCAGGCGGUCUGUCAAGUCGGAUGUGAAAUCCCCGGGCUCAACCUGGGAACUGCAUUCGAAACUGGCAGGCUAGAGUCUUGUAGAGGGGGGUAGAAUUCCAGGUGUAGCGGUGAAAUGCGUAGAGAUCUGGAGGAAUACCGGUGGCGAAGGCGGCCCCCUGGA
rnacentral:rRNA from 1 species